rnacentral:lncRNA from 1 species
AAACCAAAAUAGAAAAGGGUAGGGUAUGUUUCCCUACCCUGCCGCCCCCCCCCCCCUCCAUUUCCUUCUUCAACAGUGCCUCUCUUCACAUGAAGAGAGCAAACCCGCGGAAUCACUGGCUAGAUAGCUCGAUGGCUUCUCUUUUUUCAGGUAUAUUUAUGUAUAUAUUUCUUAGGAUUUUUAGAUCUCAAUAAACCUAUUUGAUUUAAAAUUUGGGAUUUAUAUUCUAACAAUUUGAUAGAUAUAUUUUGUCGUAUUGUGAUAGGCAUUGAGUGAGACUUUAAAGAUUAAAAUGUAAUAUUGGGAGGAGACACAGUUCGUCGAAAAGACAUUACAAAAAUGAGAUGAGAAUUCUUUCAAAAGUUUUUUAAAAAAGUAUACAAGUUUAUUUUCUUAUCUUGUUGCUUUGAGUUUUCCCCUCUUAUUGUAUACUAAAAAUUCUUGUAUCAAUGUGCUUUUUGGUUCAGUUAUUCUUUUGUGUUAAUUAUUAUUUCCUUUAAAUUUAUAAGGUGCAUUUCAAUCUAUUCAAUGCAAGAAGAUUAAGGAUUCAACCUUGAUGCCAAGAGUGAAAGUAGUUCAUCCUUGACCGCAGAAGAUCAUCUAGUGGCGAUAUCUGAAAUUCCCGGAUCAAAUACUUAGAACUUAGUUUUCUUUUGACGUGGAACCCUUCAGAAUUUUAUAGAUUAUAGAUAACGGUGCAUAAUUUGUAUUAUACUCCUAUUAGUUUGACAAGAAUGUGAGUUUAACUUGUUUCUAUUAUCUAGCUGCAUAUUAACUAGUUGUUAUGUCUCUUGUACAAGAGUUACAUACUUGUGGAAGUGUUGAUAUUAUGUACUGUAAUAGACAAUUGUAUAUUUUAGAAUUAAUUUUUUAAACUAUUUAGAUUUCAAAUUAUAA